CACAAUAUUAUGUUGCUCUAGAAAAUUCUAUUGCCCCACUUCCAAUAUUGGGGGCAGGUUCCCCCUUCGUCAUUACAGAAUCUUAGAAAGAGUCUAGAAAGGCUGGUUUAUUGUGGUCUAGAAAGUCAGGGGGUCAGAAUGGAAGCAAGGGAUUUUAGGGUUUCUUCUCUUCUGGGUCUUUGCAGACAGGCACAUGUAGACAUGACCGUUUCUCUUCCACCACCAGCUUCUGCCCCUGUAGCGCUUCACACAGUGGCCGUGGAGUCCCCCAGAAGGUAACAUUCUUCUCACCCUGACCUUCAACCAUUGAAACUGUAGGCCUGGAGUAUUGGGGAAGCAAUGGAGGAGAGCAGCUCAGCAUCAUGAGCCCCUCCUAGAAACACAAUGUCCUUCAACUCACGGGUACUUGGGGAGCAAAGGUGUGCAGAGGCGCUGGCGGACACGGGUGGCGUUGGGACUACAUGGUGGUGUGCACAGACUCCAGGUACUCCACUGUGACCAUGAACCUUUCACUGCAAUAGGAGGGGGUAAUACAGUGUCACAUAGUCAAAACUGGAGGUCUCAAUGGAAAAAGGAGACCGCAAGGGCAUUGGGUACCCAGCAUAGCUACAGCAUGGUUGCCCACCCUUACAGUGCUGCCUGUGGGUCACUCACUGAUACAGUUAUGGAUGUUAUAGCAGUGUCGAAUAUCCUGGAGUUUUCCAGCACAUGGCUUCCCAUUAAAUUUGCGGCCGCCACAGCUCCUUGAACGUGACUGCUGGCCUGGGGUUCCUUCACAGUUGAUGGACAUUCUCAGCCGGCUGCAGUCACUCCAUUUUCCCCAGGCCUCCCACUCCCCGUUUACUGUAGAGACAAGGAGCAAGAGGGUUUGGGGCCAGUAAAGGGCCUCAGGGGAAGGAAUGAAGAAGGCUUUGAGAGGGAGUGGGAGUGAACAGAUGUGGGGAUGAAGGAGGAGAGGUGAACCAGGGUAUGAAGGCAGGAACAAGGUUUUGGUAGCAAGUGGGCAGCAGUGAUGGGCAUAGGGCUUGGGCAGGGGGUUAGGCAUGGGCAUGGUGCCUUUUGACUUGCUAACCAGGGCAAGGUACGGCUUUGUUACACAUUUGGUUCCGAGUGGCAUCACCAGCACAAAAGGGGCCCCCAUGACGGGGUGCAGGGUGAUCACAUGUCCGUUGCUCUAGGGUCUGGCCCAGGCCACAAGUCACAGAGCAGGGGCUCAAAGGGCUCCAUGGCCCCCAGCCACCAG
rnacentral:lncRNA from 1 species